rnacentral:rRNA from 1 species
GUGUAGGCGGCUACGCAAGUGUUCUGUGAAAGCCCACGGCUCAACCGUGGAAUUGCAGGGCAAACUGCGUGGCUUGAGGUCGGUAGAGGUACCUGGAACUCUAGGUGGAGCGGUGAAAUGCGUAGAUAUCUAGAGGAACGCCGGAGGCGAAAGCGGGGUACUGGGCCGAUUCUGACGCUGAGACCCGAAAGCGUGGGGAGCAAACA